GGGCGUGUGGUGUAGUGGUAUCACGUCUGCUUUGCAUGCAGAAGCUUCCGCGCUCAGUUAUGGCACGUCCG